UACGGAGGGUGCGAGCGUUGUCCGGAAUCAUUGGGCGUAAAGGCGCGUAGGUGGCCUGGUCAGUUCGUGGUGAAAGCGCGGGGCUCAACCCCGCGUCGGCCAUGAAUACUGCGAGGCUGGAGCACUGUAGAGGCAGGCGGAAUUCCGGGUGUAGCGGUGGAAUGCGUAGAGAUCCGGAAGAACACCGGUGGCGAAGGCGGCCUGC
rnacentral:rRNA from 1 species